rnacentral:sRNA from 1 species
UAGUGGCAAAUUUCAAAACCAGCAUAUUUUUAAUGGCAUGGAUCUAAUUAACCCUUUUUUUCUU